rnacentral:lncRNA from 1 species
UCAGAAACUGCUACUCAAGUGUACCCUCCUGGUUCUAGGGUUCCAUUGUGGUGACAACAAAUUACAAGCAGCUUACUUCCUCAGAGCCCAUCACUACCAACACCAACUGACAGCUUCGAGAAGGACCUCAGUACCACUUUCCCUAACCAAAAUUUUCCUCUUUACUCCAAGCCCUGACAAGGAUAAAUCUCUAAACUUUAGAAACAAUGUAAUUUUACAAAUUAACUUAUACGCAGGGUUACUUCCUUUCCAAUUUGAUCAGGGAAUGCAGGGCAAGAAUAACCCAAAAUAUGCAAUGUAAAUCAUGUUGAAAUUAAAAUGUAUUUCCAUCUCCACCCCUCCACGAUGGCAUAAUUUCAAAUCAACUUAUAUAAUGCAUAUCUAGUCCUCUGAAAAAUCAUUUUUAAAAGUAGGGCUGUUAUUAUUCUGUCCUAGCUAUCGCAGAUCAAUUUAGAUUUGUUCUGUAAGAUUUCAGAUUUUCCCCAAAUGACACAGGUGGUUAUUUUAUAUGUAUCAGUCAUUAAAAGAUUAAUCCUUUUUAACUAAAAAGAGACAGUACGGUCAUUUACAAGUUAAAGUAGAUUUAUUCUGAGCUGGUGCUCUGGGGUCUUACUUCUCUAAAAUUUUGUGAUUUACAAUACACCACAUGUAGGAAACAGCUUCCAAAAUUUGUAUUGCUUCCUACAAAUCAGACAGGACUUUCAGGAGAAGGAGCCUAGGAUAGAUUCUCUGUUAAAUUUUGGAAUCCCUUCUCUCAAGAGUAACCUACUAUAAACUAUUUACCAAGCCUUUGUGAAAUCUGUAUAACAGGUUACUACUCCAUUGAGCAAGAAAACACAGGAAACAGGAUUCGAAGAUUUAAUGUUACUGCUCAUACUCCAAAUUAUAGAAUGCUUAAGAUAAUUAAAUUAUCUGACUUUUAUAAUUCACUACACGGUGACCUCAAAUUUACCUCAUUAGAAUAUUUAGUACUUCUGCACUUCUCCCACUUCUCAAAGUUUUCCCAUACCAGGAUUCCCCACCACCUAGGAACAGCCUUUGCAAGAUACCAAUGCUCUCUAAAUCCCCAAAGCAGGGUCUAUUUCCUGAUCGAACAAAGAGCAACAAAGAAGUGGGUGGUAACCACCUCUCUGAGGCAAGCCAGGACCCAUGGAGUCUGAUCUACAACACAAGCAGUAGCAGUUCCACAUCUCCCUACCACCUCUUAUUUCCUACGAAGUCUUUCUGCCUGAAACUGGAAAACCCGAACUAUUAUUGAGGAAGUGAAGCCCUUCCAUUUGAAUCCUGAGAAAGACGCGCUCAAAGAACCCAGCGAACAAAGGAGAGGGUUGGAGCCCACGCAAAACAUGGGUGUGAUAAAGCCACACGCGACCUGAGCCCCCACCCUCAGUAACUACUCUCCAGCGCCCACCGGGAGGAGGGGUCCGGGGAAAGGAUUGGCAUCCUCUGCUUCUGCAGAAAACAUGGCUACCAACAGCUUCUGUAUCCACCUGCGGAGGAGACUGACUGCUCUGUUAUUCCCCCAGCAUCUGUGAAGAGGCUCUGACUGGCUAAAGUGUUGGUAUAGUGAUCACCCCAGGGUUAGGCAACCAUGGCUGGUGAAAAGGAAAAACGUUAUGAACCUGGCUGUGCGGAGCUACCUGAGGAAGCUUGUAGGAGAAGGGAAGGAGUCUGUAGCUUUAGGGGAAGACAGAGCCACAAGAUGGAAGGAGCUUGGAUGUCUGAACUAUUCCAUGGAGAAAAGCUGCAGCCAACGAAGAACACCUGCAAUGGACUCUUAACCUGGGGGUGACGACAACCACUGAAAUAUGCUGCAUCUUAGUCCAGGGAUUUUUAAAGUGUGGUUCCUGGAAGAGCUGGAUCAGAGUCAUCUGUGUUGAUGGUUUAACAUAAAGAUUUUCGAGCCCCAAGACUCAAGUAGGACAAGGAAUUUGAAUUUUUAAGCAGCUCACCUGACUUGUCUGUCCUCUAAUGUCUGAAGACAUCUGACCUCUGCUCUUUCAGUAAAAGCAACAAUGGUUUUAUGAGCAUUGUCGUCACAUCUCUCCACUCAAGGGAUCCUUCUCAUUUCUCCCAGCUGAGGUCACCCACAGCUGCUGCUUCUAACUGCUGGCUUCCAGCCUGCUGUCUGCCAGCUGGCUCUACCCUCUCCUAUAACACGGCAGAGAGUAGCUGUGGUCUCCUGCGUGCUCACCCUCUGCUCCCUUGGUCCUGCUCCAUGCUUUGGUCCUGCACUUAAAUUUUACAAGCAUACUCUCUUUCUCUUAAGAGAAACCUGAUACAAUUUCAAGGUGGAAUACUUGCAGUGAUGGUCAAGAUGAAAGAAUGAUUUUCAAUGCCAUUUAGAGGAAAUCUUGGGAUCAACUUGGGAAAAGACGGAGGCUCCUGGCUCUGAUCUUUGGGGACUUCAGAUUUUCUGGAUCAAGGUGAGUCUUCUUGAGGCUUUACCAAGGAAACAGGCAGUUUUAGAGUUGGCCUUAAGGAUGUUCUCUGGUGUCAUCAAAGAAAUGGAAAUGCAAAGCAGAGACAUGUGCAUUUAGAUAUGUGUAAGACUGUAGACUAUUUUUAGUGGAAAAUGGCUGCUGAGUGUGUGGAAAGAGUAUAAAAGAUUUCAGUGGGAAGAUUCUACAAUCAUUUGAGAUUCUCCAUUGCUGGAAAAUUCUCAAAUUAGGCUUAUGAAGGCAAUUUGAUUUAGCAAACAGCUCUCUGGACCAAGCAAAUCUUCUCAGCAGGGAUGGAAUUUGAACUGCACUUGUCCCUGGUUCUCACCUUCCCUGAGAAGCAGUGCAUCUGCAGUGUCCCAGGUGAUGCCCCCCACAGGCCUUGAAGCUUGUCUUCCAGAAGAGCCUUCAUUUCAGGGGCAGCAUUCCAGGAAGCACGCCCAUGAAACACUCAUGAGGAGGAACUGGGCUGCCAAUUAUGACUUGUCACUGCUCCAUCAACAUAAAAGCUCGGCAGCACUCAGAUGGCUCUUGAAAAUCUUUGAGAUAUAAUCUGAAAGGAGGUCCCAGUUUCUGCCCCGGGCUGUUUGCAUCAUCAACCUGCAAAAUUCCAAUCUUGGAACUUGCUGAGAUUUUCAUUCUGAGACUCUCUGCCCUGGGCCUUGAGGAUAGCCAGAAGAAUACUAUAUUUCUUCUGCCUCUCUUUCUCUUUCUAUCUAAAGAGGUCAGGAUUAUAUAUCCACUUUGCUGAAUAUAGAAUCAAACCCAAUUGCCAUCAGCAAGUGCUGUAUAUCACCUACCACACCUGGGACCAGGCAUCAACAAGACCUUGACAGGGCCAGAAGCCUCAAGCCCUCAUUGCCAAGCCCAUUAAAAUCAGGAACUCAAUCUCAUUAAGGAAGGAGUGCAAUGGAUAUAGCCAGACAGGAGGAUUUCCACUUCAGUAUUAUCCUGAAUAGUGAACAACCAUCUCUGCUUUUCUCAGGGAGAAAGAUGUGGUAACAGUCACAAUGAUAGUAGACGAUGGUGACUGUUUAAUUUGUCAUGGCUAACAUAUAUGGUUAGCAAAUUGAGUUUCCUUUUAGGUAUAGUCUGAAUUGAACUGAAGUUCAUUAUAAUUCCCCUAAGUUGAUCUGUGAGGGCAUUUUAGCCUUCUUGGUAAAAUUAAAUAAUAUCAGUCAAAAAGGCUGUUAAACCAAUUCUUACACUUGAAAGCUUCCAGUUAUUCUAAUAAUUUGGAAUCUGUGUCUCCCCCUCUGUGGCAAUGAGGCUGUUGCUUGCUUUUCCCAAGAGACUGUAUUGCAUCUUUCUUGUUUUCUGAGAUGAGAAACAACCUCAAGGUCAUGCCCAGUGAUAUGGUUUGGCUCUGUGCCCCCACCCAAAUCUCAUCCCGAAUUGUAAUCCCCACAUGUCGGAGGAGGGGCUUGGUGGGAGGUGACUGGAUUAUGGGGGUGUAUUUACCCCUUGUUUUCAUGAUAGUGAGUUCUCAUGAGAUUUGAUGGUUUAAAACUGUGUGGCACCGCCCCCUGCAAGCUCCCUCUCUCUCCUGCCACCAAGUAAGACGUGCCUUGCUUCUUCUUUGCCUUCUGCCAUGAUUGUAAGUUUUCUGAGGCUUCCCCAGCCAUGCAGAACUGUGU